rnacentral:rRNA from 1 species
ACGGGUGAGUAAUGCGUCGGAACGUGCCGAGUAAUGGGGGAUAACGCAGCGAAAGUUGUGCUAAUACCGCAUACGCACUGAGGAGGAAAGCGGGGGACCUUUGGGCCUCGCGUUAUUCGAGCGGCCGACGUCUGAUUAGCUAGUUGGUGGGGUAAAGGCUCACCAAGGCGACGAUCAGUAGCGGGUCUGAGAGGAUGAUCCGCCACACUGGGACUGAGACACGGCCCAGACUCCUACGGGAGGCAGCAGUGGGGAAUUUUGGACAAUGGGGGCAACCCUGAUCCAGCCAUGCCGCGUGUCUGAAGAAGGCCUUCGGGUUGUAAAGGACUUUUGUCGGGGAGCAAAUCCUACCUGUAAAUAGCGGGUGGGGAUGAGAGUACCUGAAGAAUAAGCACCGGCUAACUACGUGCCAGCAGCCGCGGUAAUACGUAGGGUGCAAGCGUUAAUCGGAAUUACUGGGCGUAAAGCGUGCGCAGGCGGUUGUGCAAGUCUGAUGUGAAAUCCCCGGGCUUAACCUGGGAACUGCAUUGGAGACUGCACAGCUAGAGUGCGUCAGAGGGGGGUAGAAUUCCACGUGUAGCAG